AUUCGUUUUGGAUGGCUCAGAUGCACGGUAUGUCAUCCGGUGACUUGCCAUAGCAAUGUCACCGAAGCUGAAUCGAGGAUCAUGGCAUGCGCAAUCAGCGGAAUUCCUGACACCAAAUAGGCCGGUGCAAACUGCAAAACUCCAAACCGCUACCCAUUUUAAGAACCCACUAGACAGAACCCGGAAAAGCUAAUUCAUCAGUCGACAGGGCAAACUUUAAAUCCUGACAAAAACCUUUUCUUUAUACCACCACCCCAUCCCAUGUGCUCCACACUUAUCUGCAUUUCCCUCCAGCCUAUUUGUCCCUUUGCUCUUGCUUACUCUAGUAUACUCCUACUUCCCAGCCUUUAUAGCCUUCUGCCUUCUUCCUCACCUCACAUAUUUUUUUUCUUGGACUUCUUGGCGAUGGAUCCCCCACCGGCUCAGGCGAUGAACACCGACGACUUCACGGACAAGACCAUGGAUGAAUGUUGUUCUUGCUGCUACGAUUGCUGCUCCAGCAUCCUGGAUUUCCUCUGCUGUUCUUGAUGCUGCCCCUCGUCAACCUUGCAGAAACUUCAUGGGUGCUGACGAUGAGUGAAUCAGAAGUCUCGGUGAUAUAUUUUGGGCUGUACAAGUUAUUGAAUUCUUAGAUUAAUUCUUCCUCCCUUGCGUUGUAACUGAGAUUUGUGCGUCACUUUAUGGAUGAUUUUGGGAGGAAAUUUGUGCACUAUCAAGUUCUGAAACAUCGAUUUGUCUUCCAGCCUUUUGCGGUAUCCCUGAAGUGUUGUAUAUGGUAUGAAAAUCUCUUGAGUUC